AGUGGUGUAGCUCAGUGUAGAGCACUUGCCUAACAAGCACAAGUCCCUGGGUUCGAUUCCUAAAACCAUAA
rnacentral:tRNA from 1 species